rnacentral:rRNA from 1 species
GAUGAACGCUGGCGGCGUGCCUAAUACAUGCAAGUCGAGCGAACGGACGAGCAGCUUGCUUCUCUGAUGUUAGCGGCGGACGGGUGAGUAACACGUGGAUAACCUCCCUAUAAGACUGGGAUAACUUCGGGAAACCGGAGCUAAUACCGGGUAAUAUUUUGAACCUCAUGGUUCAAAAGUGAAAGACGGUCUUGCUGUCACUUAUAGAUGGAUCCGCGCUGCAUUAGCUAGUUGGUAAGGUAACGGCUUACCAAGGCAACGAUGCAUAGCCGACCUGAGGGGGGGAUAGGCGGCACUGGAAGUGAGACAGCGUCAAUGCGACUACGGGACGCAGCAGUAGGGAAUCGUAGGCAAUAGGCGAAAGCCUGACGGAGCGACGGCGCGUGAGUGAUGAAGGUCUUCGGAGCGUAAUACUCUGUUAUUAGGGAAGAACAGAUGUGGAAGUAACUGUGCAGAUCGUGACGGUACCUAAUAAAAAAGCAACGGCUAACUACGUG